rnacentral:ncRNA from 2 species
GCCCGUCGCGCGGGAGAGCACUCUCCCCGAGAGUCGCCGAAGGCGUAACCCCCCAGGAAUCGCUCAGGCAAAAGGACCGCCGACAGAA